AUUGAACGCUGGCGGCAGGCUUAACACAUGCAAGUCGAGCGGGGGAAGGUAGCUUGCUACUGGACCUAGCGGCGGACGGGUGAGUAAUGCUUAGGAAUCUGCCUAUUAGUGGGGGACAACAUCUCGAAAGGGAUGCUAAUACCGCAUACGUCCUACGGGAGAAAGCAGGGGAUCUUCGGACCUUGCUCUAAUAGAUGAGCCUAAGUCGGAUUAGCUAAUUGGUGGGGUAAAGGCCUACCAAGGCGACGAUCUGUAGCGGGUCGGAGAGGAUGAUCCGCCACACUGGGACUCAGACACGGCCCAGACUCCUACGGGAGGCAGCAGUGGGGAAUAUUGGACAAUGGGGGGAACCCUGAUCCAGCCAUGCCGCGUGUGUGAAGAAGGCCUUAUGGUUGUAAAGCACUUUAAGCGAGGAGGAGGCUACUUUAGUUAAUACCUAGAGAUAGUGGACGUUACUCGCAGAAUAAGCACCGGCUAACUCUGUGCCAGCCGCCGCCGUAA
rnacentral:rRNA from 1 species